rnacentral:rRNA from 1 species
UACGUAGGGGGCGAGCGUUGUCCGGAAUGAUUGGGCGUAAAGCGCGCGCAGGCGGUCCUUUAAGUCUGAUGUAAAAGCCCGCGGCUUAACCGCGGAAGGUCAUUGGAAACUGGGGGACUUGAGGCUAGGAGAGGGAAGUGGAAUUCCUGGUGUAGCGGUGAAAUGCGUAGAGAUCAGGAGGAAUACCGAUGGCGAAAGCA